rnacentral:sRNA from 1 species
CACUCUUCCAGCCAUCAUCAUUGUCUUCAACCUGAAUGAUGUGGCAUCUCUGGAACAUACCAAGCAGUGGCUGGCUGAUGCCCUGAAGGAGAAUGACCCUUCCAGUGUGCUUCUCUUCCUUGUAGGUUCCAAGAAGGAUCUGAGUGUGAGUGUGCCAGUGGGGGGACUUCCCAACUUGGUGAGGGAAUGCCCCCCUCUGACUCUGGCCUUCCCUCAGACCCCUGCUCAGUAUGCGCUGAUGGAGAAAGAUGCCCUCCAAGUGGCCCAGGAGAUGAAGGCUGAGUACUGGGCAGUCUCGUCUCUCACUGGUGAGUUGGAGGCUUUAGGGCUCUGCUGUGACACUCUUGCCUGGCUCUCCUCUCACUGCUACACCUCCAGCUGUGCCCUGUGUCCCCAGACCCGGCACUGCCCCUGAGCACCUAUCUGCUCCCUGU